GGUAGAGGGAGACAGGUAGGUAGAAAGAGACAGGUAGGUAGAGGGAGACAGGUAGGUAGAGGGAGACAGGUAUGUAGAGGGAGACAGGUAGGUAGAGGGAGACAGGUAGGUAGAGGGAGACAGGUAGGUAGACAAUGCCCCAUGCACAAAGUGUGGUCCAUACAGAAAUGGUUUGUGUGGAAGAACUUGAUUGGAAUUCACAGAGACCUGACCUCAACCCCAUCAAACACCUUUGGGAUGAAUUGGAACGCCGACUGAGAGCCUGAAGGCCUAAUUGCUCAGCAUCAGUGCCCAACCUCACUUCACUUCAGUCAGGUAAUCUGUUGGUUCUCACCUGUUAUUCCACUUCAGUCAGGUAAUCUGUUGGUUCUCACCUGUUAUUCCACUUCAGUCAGGUAAUCUGUUGGUUCUCACCUGUUAUUCC
ensembl:lncRNA